CCCUUAGAUGUCCUGGGCCGCACGCGCGCUACACUGAGUGUCUGAGAUACGAGUCUGCCUGGUCCGGCAAGGUCUAGGUAAUCGCUAAAAGACACAUCAUGCUUGGGAUAGAUUAUUGCAAAUAUUAAUCUUGAACGAGGAAUUCCUAGUAAGCGCAAGUCAACAGCUUGCGUUUAUUACGUCCCUGCCCUUUGUACACACCGCCCGUCGCUACUACUGAUUGGAUGUUUAAGCGAGGUUCUCGAACUGCUAGCGACUUAGCUUCGGUGAGGUCGCAGUGUGGGAAGUGAACCUAGCUCUGGUGUCUAGAGGAAGUAAAAGUCGUAACA
rnacentral:rRNA from 1 species